CAGUAGCCGCGGGAAUACGAAGGGGGCUAGCGUUGCUCGGAAUGACUGGGCGUAAAGGGCGCGUAGGCGGAUUGUUUAGUUAGAGGUGAAAUCCCAAGGCUCAACCUUGGAACUGCCUUUGAUACUGGGGAUCUUGAGUUCGGGAGAGGUGAGUGGAACUGCGAGUGUAGAGGUGAAAUUCGUAGAUAUUGGGAAGAACACCGGUGGCGAAGGCGGCGACCUGGUCCUUGACUGACGCUGAGGCGUGAAAGCGUGGGGAGCAAACAGGAUUAGAUACCCCAGUAGUCCCUGUCUCUUAUAC
rnacentral:rRNA from 1 species